UUUGUAUUCCUGACACUAUAGUGUUCCUUUAAGCAAAUUAAAGGAAAAUUCUGGUACCAUAACAACUUCAUUUAAAUGAAAAUGCCAGGAUGCCCAUGGGUGCUCUCUUUUCUUUUAAGGGGUUUAACCCCAAAGGCUUCCUCCAGCUACAGAUCUCCAGGUCGCUCAGUGUUAUUCGGCUUCUGAAACAGAGUGUCAGGAAGUGCAGAUUGACAUCAGGCAUGGGUG